ACGGAAGGCAGCAGUGAGGAAUAUUGGUCAAUGGGCGGAAGCCUGAACCAGCCAAGUCGCGUGAAGGAAGACGGUAUUAUGUAUUGUAAACUUCUUUAGACGUAGAGAAAUAAGCGGGACGCGUCCCGCGAUGCUAGUAUGCGUAGAAUAAGGAUCGGCUAACUCCGUGCCAGCAGCCGCGGUAAUACGGAGGAUCCGAGCGUUAUCCGGAUUUAUUGGGUUUAAAGGGAGCGUAGGCGGUAUUUUAAGCGUGUUGUGAAAUGUAGAUGCUCAACAUCUGAAUUGCAGCGCGAACUGGAGUACUUGAGUGCGCAGGAAGUUGGCGGAAUUCGUCGUGUAGCGGUGAAAUGCUUAGAUAUGACGAAGAACUCCGAUUGCGAAGGCAGCUGACUGUAGCGUAACUGACGCUGAAGCUCGAAGGUGCGGGUAUCGAACAGGAUUAGAUACCCUGGUA
rnacentral:rRNA from 1 species